CUUUUAACCUGGCGCUGGGUUCAGGGUGAUCAAGAAUGCUCUGACCCCGGGUGGAGGUUCACCAUUGCACCUCGGUGGGUUGAAACUCGCGACGGACUCCAAUCGGGUGCGCUGGGGCGUGUGGUUUUUGUCAGUGAGGAAGCGUCACGUUCCUCC
rnacentral:snRNA from 1 species